rnacentral:lncRNA from 1 species
GACAGUUGGGAAGCUCUCUUAAACUGGGUGGCAGACUGAGAGGCUGUGUGCCAAAGGGUCUCCCUGAAGAAACCAAUUUAGGAGCUGCCAAGGACUUGGAUUAUCUUUUAAGAUUGAGCAACUGCCUUUCCCAUGGCUCUGAGGUCAAAUUUCUUUGUGCUCCUGCUCUCAACACUCUUCCUUGGGGAAAAAGAGUUUUGGUAUGUUUCACUACAUGGCAAGGGUACCCACUGAUUUUUGAGUUAUGUGGUCCCUGGACUAGGGAUCCUGGUGUGUGUAGAUGGUGAUGGAGAAAUAUAAGCCAG